ensembl:snoRNA
GCAUGGCUUUGGAAGCAAAUAACUGUGAUGCUGUAAACGCUUUCUGAUGUG